GACGAACGCUGGCGGCGUGCUUAACACAUGCAAGUCGAACGGAAAGGCCCUGCUUUUGUGGGGUGCUCGAGUGGCGAACGGGUGAGUAACACGUGAGUAACCUGCCCUUGACUUUGGGAUAACUUCAGGGAACUGGGGCUAAUACCGGAUAGGAGCUCCUGCUGCAUGGUGGGGGUUGGAAAGUUUCGGCGGUUGGGGAUGGACUCGCGGCUUAUCAGCUUGUUGGUGGGGCAGUGGCUUACCAAGGCUUUGACGGGUAGCCGGCCUGAGAGGGUGACCGGCCACAUUGGGACUGAGAUACGGCCCAGACUCCUACGGGAGGCAGCAGUGGGGAAUAUUGCACAAUGGGCGGAAGCCUGAUGCAGCAACGCCGCGUGCGGGAUGACGGCCUUCGGGUUGUAAACCGCUUUCGCCUGUGACGAAGCGUGAGUGACGGUAAUGGGUAAAGAAGCACCGGCUAACUACGUG
rnacentral:rRNA from 1 species